AUGAACGCUGGCGGCGUGCCUAAUACAUGCAAGUCGAGCGAACGGACGAGAAGCUUGCUUCUCUGAUGUUAGCGGCGGACGGGUGAGUAACACGUGGAUAACCUACCUAUAAGACUGGGAUAACUUCGGGAAACCGGAGCUAAUACCGGAUAAUAUUUUGAACCGCAUGGUUCAAAAGUGAAAGACGGUCUUGCUGUCACUUAUAGAUGGAUCCGCGCUGCAUUAGCUAGUUGGUAAGGUAACGGCUUACCAAGGCAACGAUGCAUAGCCGACCUGAGAGGGUGAUCGGCCACACUGGAACUGAGACACGGUCCAGACUCCUACGGGAGGCAGCAGUAGGGAAUCUUCCGCAAUGGGCGAAAGCCUGACGGAGCAACGCCGCAUGAGUGAUGAAGGUCUUCGGAUCGUAAAACUCUGUUAUUAGGGAAGAACAUAUGUGUAAGUAACUGUGCACAUCUUGACGGUACCUAAUCAGAAAGCCACGGCUAACUACGU
rnacentral:rRNA from 1 species